rnacentral:rRNA from 1 species
GUUGAUCAUGACUCAGAACGAACGCUGGCGGCGCGUCUAAGCAUGCAAGUCGAACGGCAAGAGGUAGCAAUACCUCCUAGAGUGGCGGACUGGUGAGUAACACGUGGGUGACAUACCCUUCAGAUGGGGAUAGCUAUUAGAAAUAGUAGAUAAUACCGAAUACGAGCACAGGGGUUAGAGAUCUGUGAGGAAAGGAGCUAAGGCUCCGCUGAAGGAAUGGCCUGCGGCCCAUUAGCUAGUUGGUGAGGUAAGAGCCCACCAAGGCGAUGAUGGGUAUCCGGCCUUAGAGGGUGAACGGACACAUUGGGACUGAGAUACGGCCCAGACUCCUACGGGAGGCAGCAGCUAAGAAUAUUCCGCAAUGGACGAAAGUCUGACGGAGCGACGCCGCGUGGAUGAAGAAGGCCGGAAGGUUGUAAAAUCCUUUUGAAACUGAAGAAUAAGCGUUGUAGGGAAUGACAGCGUGGUGACAGUAGGUUUUGAAUAAGCAACGGCUAAUUACGUGCCAGCAGCCGC